rnacentral:rRNA from 1 species
AUUGAACGCUGGCGGCAUGCUUUACACAUGCAAGUCGAACGGUAACAGGCCUUCGGGUGCUGACGAGUGGCGCACGGGUGAGUAAUGCAUCGGAACGUACCCAGAGGUGGGGGAUAACGCAGCGAAAGCUGUGCUAAUACCGCCUGUGAUCUGAGGAUGAAAGCGGGGGACCGAGCAGCAAUGUUUGGCCUCGCGCCUUUGGAGCGGCCGAUGUCGGAUUAGCUAGUUGGGGGGGUAAAGGCCUACCAAGGCGACGAUCCGUAGCUGGUCUGAGAGGACGACCAGCCACACUGGGACUGAGACACGGCCCAGACUCCUACGGGAGGCAGCAGUGGGGAAUUUUGGACAAUGGGCGCAAGCCUGAUCCAGCAAUGCCGCGUGCGGGAAGAAGGCCUUCGGGUUGUAAACCGCUUUUGGCAGGAACGAAACGGUGUCCGCUAAUACCGGGCGCUAAUGACGGUACCUGCAGAAUAAGCACCGGCUAACUACGUG